rnacentral:rRNA from 1 species
GGCCUAACACAUGCAAGUCGAACGCUGUAGCAAUACAGAGUGGCAGACGGGUGAGUAACGCGUGGGAACAUGCCCUUCGGUUCGGAAUAACUCAGGGAAACUUGAGCCAAUACCGGAUACGCCCUUAGGGGGAAAGAUUUAUUGCCGAAGGAUUGGCCCGCGUCCGAUUAGCUAGUUGGUGAGGUAAUGGCUCACCAAGGCGACGAUCGGUAGCUGGUCUGAGAGGAUGAUCAGCCACACUGGGACUGAGACACGGCCCAGACUCCUACGGGAGGCAGCAGUGGGGAAUAUUGGACAAUGGGCGCAAGCCUGAUCCAGCCAUGCCGCGUGAGUGAUGAAGGCCCUAGGGUUGUAAAGCUCUUUCGCCAGGGACGAUAAUGACGGUACCUGGAUAAGAAGCCCCGGCUAACUUCGUGCCAGCAGCCGCGGUAAUACGAAGGGGGCUAGCGUUGUUCGGAAUCACUGGGCGUAAAGCGCACGUAGGCGGAUCUUUAAGUCAGGGGUGAAAUCCCGAGGCUCAACCUCGGAACUGCCUUUGAUACUGGAAGUCUCGAGUCCGGGAGAGGUGAGUGGAACUGCGAGUGUAGAGGUGAAAUUCGUAGAUAUUCGCAAGAACACCAGUGGCGAAGGCGGCUCACUGGCCCGGUACUGACGCUGAGGUGCGAAAGCGUGG